AACGUAGGAAGCGAGCGUUAUCCGGAUUUACUGGGUGUAAAGCGCGUGUAGGCGGUUGGGAAAGUUGGAUGUGAAAGCUCCUGGCUUAACUGGGAGAGGUCGUUCAAAACUACCUGACUUGAGGAUGGGAGAGGGAGGCGGAAUUCCGGGUGUAGUGGUGAAAUGCGUAGAUAUCCGGAGGAACACCAGUGGCGAAAGCGGCCUCCUGGCCCAUAACUGACGCUCAGACGCGAAAGCUAGGGGAGCGAACGGG
rnacentral:rRNA from 1 species